rnacentral:lncRNA from 1 species
GUGAACCUGCUUGCUCAAUCUAAGUAAGUUAAUACGUGUAAGUUAAUAUGUGUAGUAAAGGGAAAAUAAAAGGUUCUAAACCUUGGUGCUGUGCUGAAAUUGUCCAAUUAGUGUGGAUGGCAAAGUGAUUUUGCCAUGUACCUCUCAGUUUGCUAUGUAUUUACUUCGAUGAAUCUCAUUAUCAUUUCCACCUUUCUCUCUCUCCUCUCUUACUUGAAUAAUAUAAAGUCUAUACAUUUCUU